AACUCAUCCAGAGAGGUGGAGGGACCGGCCCAAUGAUACCUCGGCAACCACGGUCACAAACCGAAGGUGCCAACUCCGGCAGCUCCCUAUAAUGGGGAGAUCUGGAAGAUGAGGU
rnacentral:ncRNA from 1 species